UACGUAGGGGGCAAGCGUUGUCCGGAUUUAUUGGGCGUAAAGCGCACGUAGUCGGCUUUGCAAGUCGGGUGUGAAAUCCCCGGGCUCAACCUGGGAACUGCAUCCGAGACUGCAUUGCUAGAGUAUGGGAGAGGGAAGCGGAAUUUCUGGUGUAGCAGUGAAAUGCGUAGAUAUCAGAAGGAACAUCAGUGGCGAAGGCGGGUCUCUGGGCCGAUACUGACGCUGAGGAGCGAAAGCGUGGGGAGCGAACAGG
rnacentral:rRNA from 1 species